rnacentral:lncRNA from 1 species
UUUUAGUUUAUUCAGAAUUGCUUUUUCUUUCUGUUGGUUUGUUACUUAUCUUUCAUAUUAGGGCAUUCUUCAGUUUCCUGUGACUUUUAAUUAUCUUCUUAUAUUUAAGAGUGGGGAAACUAAAACAUCUAUUUGGAAGUUUGAACAAAUGUGUGAGACUUGUAGACUGUGGGAUAAUAGCAGGUUUUUUGGCUGGUUUGUUUACUUUAUGCUUCUCCUCUGGGGUUAAUCAGUUUCCUCUGGAAGAGAAUUUCCACACUACUGUCUGGAACCUUUCCAAAAGAUAGGGAAGAGAGAACAGUAGGUCUCAAUAUUCUGUGUGCAAACACACUUAACUCCUCUAUUUUCAGUGUAGCACUGCUCUGACAACCAUGGCUGAUAACUUCUUACCAGGAAACCUUAUUUUACCCUAUUUAGUCUUCUAAUAGUUGGAAAGUAAAGUGGGGAGAUUAUAUGAAAAUUAUAUGAAGAUUAUAUGAAGAUUUAAUUGCUUCUUUCACAUACUUUCAAUCAGUCUUUUAAAAUUUUUGCUUUUAUCCCCAUUCCCAAAAGUACUGAUACUCAAUCUCCACCUUUUUUUUUUUUCCCUGAGAGGGUUUUCUAUGCAUUAUAUAACCAAUGGCUUAUCAUUUUCCUCAUUACUGGUGUAGGAUUCAGCUUCCUCGGAGCUAUCUCCUAACAGUUGUCUAUCAGCUUCACAGCUCUCAAAAUAAUAUUGCUUUUAUCUCCUCUUCUCUUCUAAUCUCCUCUGUGGGUUUGUACAAUUUAAGACAUCUUUAAUUUCCAUUAAGGGAAUAAAGGUAGUGUGUUUUCACUCCACUAUCUCUAACCCAGAGUCCAUUAGUAUGAAUUAUCAUAAAGACCAUGUAAAGGUGGAAUAUUCCCUAUUUUACAAAAGUAAGAAUUAAACUCAGAGAAUUUAAGUAAUUAUUUUAUACUCCCAAGGUUUAUAAUUGGUAGACUUAGAAUUGUUGUCCUGUUCAGAGUGACUCCAAAUCUGUGGCUUGUCCUGCUAAAUGCUGCUGCUUCACUUAACACCCUUGUUUGCAGUGGACUGAAUGCAAACAUAUUGUCCAUCUGCCAGGAAUGGUUAGUGGCUUAUCACAGCCCCACAUGUCCCACACACACAUCCUAUUGACUUUGUCUUCUCACCCCCAAACCAGACAAGUCUGCAAAUCUCUACUUUUCAAUUAGUCAAGUUAAUGAAGCUUUUUAAAGAAAUCCAUAAAGACUGCCUCCAUGGUCUUGACAUUUAGUAACUUCUGGUAAUGGUCUCUGGGCUCCUUCUCCAUUAAAACAUUGUAUUGUGAUUCCUAAGUGCUGACACUAACUUCUUUAGAAUAGAGUGAGGAGGGGUUUCCUCUGAGCCUUCCCCAAACCCAGGAUAAAUACAGAAAUAGCAUUUUUAAUAGUUAAGCCCAUUGAGAGGCCACCCUUAAAGUACCUAUCUCCCAUCAGAAAAUCUAU